rfam:Lachancea thermotolerans CBS 6340 chromosome D complete sequence.
GUUUAUGAUGACUUUCCACUUUUCACGACGGUCAACUGUUUGUCUCUUUACUUGUUUGGUUUAGAGAUGUUGAUGAUAUUAUGCCUGUGACAGGGCGUGGUACUGAGC